rnacentral:rRNA from 1 species
AUGAACGCUGGCGGCGUGCCUAAUACAUGCAAGUCGAGCGAACAGACGAGUAGCUUGCUCCUCUGACGUUAGCGGCGGACGGGUGAGUAACACGUGGAUAACCUACCUAUAAGACUGGGAUAACUUCGGGAAACCGGAGCUAAUACCGGAUAAUAUAUUGAACCGCAUGGUUCAAUAGUGAAAGACGGUUUUGCUGUCACUUAUAGAUGGAUCCGCGCCGCAUUAGCUAGUUGGUAAGGUAACGGCUUACCAAGGCAACGAUGCGUAGCCGACCUGAGAGGGUGAUCGGCCACACUGGAACUGAGACACGGUCCAGACUCCUACGGGAGGCAGCAGUAGGGAAUCUUCCGCAAUGGGCGAAAGCCUGACGGAGCAACGCCGCGUGAGUGAUGAAGGUCUUCGGAUCGUAAAACUCUGUUAUUAGGGAAGAACAAAUGUGUAAGUAACUAUGCACGUCUUGACGGUACCUAAGCAGAAAGCCACGGCUAACUACGU